rnacentral:rRNA from 1 species
GACGAACGCUGGCGGCGUGCUUAACACAUGCAAGUCGAACGGUAAGGCUCCAGCUUGCUGGGGUACACGAGUGGCGAACGGGUGAGUAACACGUGGGUGACCUGCCCUGCACUUCGGGAUAAGCCUGGGAAACUGGGUCUAAUACCGGAUAGGACCAUGGUGUGGAUACUGUGGUGGAAAGUUUUGUCGGUGUGGGAUGGGCUCGCGGCCUAUCAGCUUGUUGGUGGGGUAAUGGCCUACCAAGGCGGCGACGGGUAGCCGGACUGAGAGGGUGGAAGGCCACAUUGGGACCGAGACACGGCCGCAACUCGUACGGGAGGGAGCAGUGGGGAAUAUUGAACGAGGGGCGGAAGGCUGAUGCAGCGACGCCGCGUGGCGGAUGACGGCCUUAGGGUUGUAAACCACUUGCGCCAUCGACGAAGGGUUUCUGACGGUAGAUGGAGAAGAAGCCCCGGGUAACUACGUG